GUGGGGAAUCUUAGACAAUGGGCGCAAGCCUGAUCUAGCCAUGCCGCGUGGACGAUGAAGGCCUUAGGGUUGUAAAGUCCUUUCGCUGGGGAAGAUAAUGACGGUACCCAGUAAAGAAGCCCCGGCUAACUCCGUGCCAGCAGCCGCGGUAAUACGGAGGGGGCUAGCGUUGUUCGGAAUUACUGGGCGUAAAGCGCGCGUAGGCGGAUCGGAAAGUUGGGGGUGAAAUCCCGGGGCUCAACCUCGGAACUGCCUUCAAAACUCCCGGUCUUGAGUUCGAGAGAGGUGAGUGGAAUUCCGAGUGUAGAGGUGAAAUUCGUAGAUAUUCGGAGGAACACCAGUGGCGAAGGCGGCUCACUGGCUCGAUACUGACGCUGAGGUGCGAAAGCGUGGGGAGCAAACAGGAUUAGAUACCCGUGUAGUCC
rnacentral:rRNA from 1 species